rnacentral:rRNA from 1 species
UACGUAGGGGGCAAGCGUUGUCCGGAAUCAUUGGGCGUAAAGAGCGUGUAGGCGGCCCGAUAAGUCCGCUGUGAAAGUCCAGGGCUCAACCCUGGGAUGCCGGUGGAUACUGUCGGGCUCGAGUCCGGAAGAGGAGUGUGGAAUUCCUGGUGUAGCGGUGAAAUGCGCAGAUAUCGAGAGGAACACCUGCGGCGAAGGCGGGUUGCUGGGCUGACACUGACGCUGAUGCGCGAAAGCUAGGGGAGCGAACGGG